CUUGAUUCCACAUGGCGCGAGGCUGAGCCAACCUUAGUUUUGCAUUCUAAGGCAGGGCCUGUGAGAAAUGCAGAAGGGGCCCGGGAAGGGGCUGUGAGGUGAAACCCAGGGUCAGCCUUAGCCUAAGGCUACCUCAGUCCUACCUGACAGUGCAGAGAGCAGUCUCUGCCCUACGUGGACUCCAGCACCUGACUUCCAGCAGAGGGUAAACGCUGCAGAAAUCUCGCCAGUGGCAAACCUGAGACCCCCAACCAGCCUACACAGAGCAGUGCCGGGGUUUGCCAAUCAGCUGACCUUUUCUGAAAGCAGCAUAUAGGCAAGGUGCAGAGAGAAGGUUCCACUACCUAAUGGCAAAACCACCAUUUCUGUCUUGCCUAUCCAUGGCUCAGAUUCAUUGUUUCCCUCCCUCACCAUUAACUUUCACCUACUGCUCCCACAGGGGGUUCUAAAGGUGAAUGAGUCACAGCUCUGCUCGCACUGUAACGAGAGAAAUAAACAUCCACAGUCACCUCAGCCCCAGUUAAGUAAAUGGGAGCAGGAGAAGAGGAUGCCUUGCUCCCCAAGCCCCGCAGGCUGCCCUCUAAGGCCAUGCCCCCCCAAAGGCCACCCACGAUGCCCAUCUCACCCAAUUUUCUUGGACUCUGAUGGAACAAUUUUAUGGGAACAGAGGUAUGAUGGGUAGGAUCAAGAGGAAGAGCAAAAACUGGCUGGUAGAGACCAAAAGAGCAAAGGAGCCUGUGUUGCCAGGGCCCUGCAGCCUUGGGAAAGAAAGACUUCACCUGCCCAUCCACAUGGCACACAGACGGCAUCUAUGAGAAGGAGGUAAGCUGCACAGAGCUGCCUGCAAGCAACAACACAUUCAGAACCUGUUCUGGAAUGAAGAGCAGGAAGUUCCAACAAACCCAAUAAACUGGGGACUCUGGUUCUCUCAAACUGUCCGGAGCACCUA